CUCUCAUUUCAUAUGUUAGUUAUAUACAUGGAUUUAGUAUCUUGUGUAAUACAAGUUGCUGAUUUUGAGAAAAACAUUUAAAUUUCCUUCAGAAUGUAUUCUCAUUACUCUAUAUUUUUGUUAAGUAUGUCUGGUGGAUGAGAGGGAGAUAAAGGGGGAUUUUGUCCAGAGUUUAAUUCCAGUUGUAGUCUGAAGGAGUGUCAGAAUUAUAUUUAUCUUGUGAGAGCCCAGGCUUGCAUUAACCAUUUCAUCUUCAGCCUCCCUCUCACAGCAGAAGGCAGUGGGGUAAUGGGGAAGAACAUAAGCAUUGAAGUUGAUGGAAUGAAGAAAAUGUUCUGAAUUGAUUUUUUAAGUGAAUGCAUUUGAUUUUAUUAACUUGAUUAUGUAAGGACACCAUUACAUUAGUCAUACAUGUAGCCUAUUUAUGUGCAUAAAAAUUCUCUGAUAAAUACUUAAUUCCAUCUGACAGAGUACCUCAAGGAUUCAAGGGAAAAAAUUUCAACUAAGUAAAAGAAAAUAUUCUAUCAGUAUUAUUCUCUCUUGUCUUUCCAUUGAACAUCUCUUUCUUUUUCUGUUUUUCAGUUCUCUUCCCCACUGAUCAUAACUCAAUAGCCUAACUGAGUCCUGGGCUCUUGGCACCAAUAAUUGGUUCUCUCAAUUCUCGUGGUAAAUGAUUACAUUUCUAUUUUUCUCUCUUCCUAAAGGCUGAGUUCUUAAGACUUAACUGUGUUGAUUUAUUUUAUAUUUCGGCAGUGCCUACUGUGUGUCAAACACUAACUUUGCUAACAAAGGAGACCAAAAUACCUGCCUUCAAAGAGCGGACUAAAGGAAGAAGUUAGGAAGAGGACAUGAAUAAAACGAUGUCAUCAGGGAGUCUACAAAUUGAGGCUGAGUUUGACUGGCUUUUGCUCAGAGCUACAGGCUGGCAUCACCCUCGGAGCUACCUUUCAGAGAGAACAGAGUUGAUUCAGAGCAUCUUUCAGAAUGGUGAUUAAUGAGAAAGCAAC
rnacentral:lncRNA from 13 species